AAUAUGUUAAAUCUUUGUUUCCAUUGUGAAGAUUUUGGUUUUACUACUAAAUGGAACUUUUUUGCAACUAGUCACGGUAAGCAACCUUGUGAUGGGAUAGGUGGUACAGUCAAACGUCUGGCAACACUAGCAAGUUUGCAAAGAGAUAUGGGUAGGCACUAAGCUAUGCAGUGUUGAUGAAGAAUUUGCUUUAAUUCAUGACUUUGGAAAUAUCCAGAUAACAACUGUAAACCUAGUACCAGGUGAUUAUGUCUGUGUUUCCUAUGAGCAAAAGUGGUGGAUAGGAGCCAUUGAAGAUAUUAAUUUAGAAGAAAAAGAUGUGCUUGAAAAAUUUAUGUGUCCUAAUGGUCCUGCACGGUCGUUUAAAUGGCCACCAAAGGAAAGCCAAUGCUGGAUUCCUGAUGUCCACAUUAUUUGCAAAGUUGAGGUACCGAUAA